GGGAGGUGUGAUAUCGUGCUUCCUGUGGAGGUGUGAUCCGCAAUCCCUGGGAGGUGUGAUCCCGUGCUCACU
rnacentral:pre_miRNA from 1 species